GGGUGCGUAGCUCAGAGGGAGAGCGCUUCCCUCACGAGGAAGAGGCCGCAGGUUCGAUUCCUGCCGCACCCACCA
rnacentral:tRNA from 8 species